GAAAUGCGAUACGUAAUGUGAAUUGCAGAAUUCAGUGAAUCAUCGAAUCUUUGAACGCAUAUUGCGCUCUUUGGUAUUCCGAAGAGCAUGCUUGUUUGAGUAUCAGUAAACACCUCAAAGCUUUUGAUUUAUUUUGAAAACUUUGGACUUGAGCAAUCCCAACACCAAUCUGUUUUUCAGAUCAGUGGCGGGUUGCUUGAAAUGCAGGUGCAGCUGGACAUUCUCCUGAGCUAUAAGCAUAUUUAUUUAAUCCCGUCAAACGGAUUAUUACUUUUGCUGCAGCUAAUAUAAAGGGCGUUUGACCAUUUUGGCUAACUGAUGCAGGAUUUCACAGGGGUCGGACAACGAUCUUUGUAAAACUCGAUCUCAAAUCAAGUAAGACUACCCGCUGAACUUAA
rnacentral:misc_RNA from 1 species